CUUUGUUAUCAGUCAUCAGUUAGAAGCUGGGGGAGCUAUGGCCAAGAAGACAAACUUUCUUCUGUGUGGGCUUUCCUGUUUGGUCCUUGUUGUGAGGACAUACAAUGAUCCAUGCACAAGCCAUCCCUGCCCUGCUAAAUCUUACUGUGUCUCCAAGGAACAAAAAUACUUCUGUUAUUGCAUAGAUGGAUAUGUUUCGAACACAGGAGAAAUAAAUUUCACAGAC